rnacentral:lncRNA from 1 species
AUAGUGAGCUAUUCCUGGAAAAGCCCUUGCAUCAAUCAGUGUCCCAACAGGAAAUGGUUGGCAUCCCAGAUGAAGAUGAUAAAGGGACUGUUUACAAAGUUUUGGGGAAACUCCAAGGAAUAGUUUAAUAGCCCAGUCCUGUUACCACCCCUGCACCCAAAGUGACAAGGGGAGGGGGUGGAGACUGGGACAUGGGAAAAUCAUCUAGGGAAGGAUACCUUUACUGGAUCAGCAGCCUUCAGUUGGAGGAACACAGCCAGCUCCUGGUGACCCCACAGGGAGAGAGCGGGAGCACUAAGGAUUCCAAACUCAGUCCUCCUGAUCUUCAUCAGUAUUCGUCAUUGGCCAAACAAAUAACUGAAAUUCAGAGGGCAAGAGAGCUCAUUGUUAUCUAAACAGGUCAGCAUGGCAGACAGCGAGGCGAAGAGGGAAGGAAGGUGGAUUUGGAAGAACAAACGGGAGUGACCUAGUGCAGCCCUGAUAAACCCGCUGGGAGCUACCAGAGUAUUUGACCUUGGGCACAGCUGGGGUGGCCCCGAUGGCGCUGCUGUCUGCUGAUGGUCUCCACAGCUUCCCCAGCGAGGCCUUCCUGGAAGGAGUGCUGAGCAGCAAAGCUCUGUGGUCACCACUCAGGACAAAGGGGAACCAGCUGAACAGAGCCUUUCAUGUGACAACAAAAAACGACCUGGCUCAAACAUCACGACAGGCAUCUGUGGAGCCUGGGAAAUGACCUUUCUCAUGGGGAGAACACAGAACACACAAAGCUUUCUCUUAAAAGUCUACAAAAUUAUAAUCUGAUAACAACAGAACGUUUUGGUAUUUUGAGUAAUAGGUGUCACAUCGGAAUUGAUAUUUGCCAAAUUUGGCAUGAUAAUUGAAUGCUUUUUGCUUAUUUAUAUUUCAUAUUUUAGUUGUUUUCUAAUAACCAAAAACAUUUGUGUAUUUUUAAUAAUAGUAGAGGUAAAUGAAAUUUUACAUGUCAGUAAAAAAACUGAAAGAUGAUGCUUGUAAUUUCAAGUCGAUUAAAGAAAAUUAUUAAUAAAACAAUAAAAUACAAAUUAUACAUUUUAUAUUGUGAUACUUAAAGUAGAUGACCUGGUUUAUCCCUGAAGAGAAAGCAUGGAUGCAUAAACCAGACCAUAUUGUAAAUAUUUCAAAUUCAUUGGUAAACAUUGUUUUAAGAAGGUGAUUAGCAAAUAUUGUUUCAAGAAGGUGAUUAAGAAGGUGAUGCAAAAUUUGGAGUACUUUCUGUUUUGUAUUUUUCGUGACUAUUUGUGAGCACUUGGUGCUUAAGACACACUCAAAGAGGUACUGACAAUUUAUCAUAUUCUAAAGCAAUAAAACAGGUUGAAAAUAUCUAA